CCAAAAAUAAAAAAUAAAAAUAAGAAGACUUGUAGUUGACUAGGUUGCUUCUUGGUCCCAUCCCAGCUCUUUAGUGGAGUCACAGUCACAAUUCAUCUCACAAAUCACUGAUAUAAAUAUGAGUACAAAUCCAUCAACUAAUUGGCAACUCCAACAUAUUUCUAAUUUCUUUCUCUCAACCUUUGAAUAUUCUUUUUCUCUUCCUUUUUCUAUAGUUAGAGAAAGAGAAAGAAAUAAAGUGUUGAUCUGUUACUUACUUCGAUACACUAAACUCAGAUAUCCAAGUCUCAGCUAAAAAAGAUGAUGAAAGUAGUGCUGAAGUUGGAGUAUCUGGAUGAGAAAGUCAAGCAAAAGGUCAUGA